AGCAGCCGCGGUAAUUCCAGCUCCAAUAGCGUAUAUUAAAGUUGUUGCAGUUAAAAGCUCGUAGUUGAAUUUCGGGAUCAAUAUGUCGGUCGUGCCUUGGUACGUACUGGUAUCAUUGGUUUCUCCUUUCUGACGAACCAUGAUGUCAUUAAUUUGGUGUUAUGGGAAGUUAGGACUGUUACUUUGAAAAAUUGAGUGUUUAAAGCAGGCUUUAGCUUGAAUACAUUAGCAUGGAAUAAUGAAAUAGGACGUUUGAUUCUUAUUUUGUU
rnacentral:misc_RNA from 1 species